rnacentral:lncRNA from 1 species
AGAACGGAUAUGGUUUCAGUAUAUGGGUAAAAAAUAAUUAUUUUGGGUUCAGAUUUUGGGCUUGGGUUCGGAUUUUGGUUUUGGGUUUUUAGUCUUGUUUGAUUUGGGAUAUGGAUUCUUAAAAUUCUUUAGGUUCGAGUUCGGAUUCAGAUUCGAGUUUCAGAUCGGUUAUCACAUUUGUGUUCGGGUUUAGAUUUGUGCUCGGGUUUUAAAAAACUUACCCUGAAUCCGAUCGCUUGACAUCACUAGAUAAAAAAUCCUAUUUGUUUCUACUAGAAUUAUUAACUUUAUUCAUUGAUUUUUUUGCAAAAAAAAUCACUAAUUUGCCUUUUUACAAAAGUAGGUCAUUUUUUUAUUUAUUUAUUUUUAUUUUUGCAGAUUUGGGCCAUAUUUUUUGAAAACUGAUCAAAAUAUCUCAGAGUUGUAAACAUCUCAUUUCUCCCUUCCCCGCUCCCUCCUUGCGAACCCAUCUCUCGCGAAUUUAUAUUUGCAUAUAUGGUCCUCUUCUUACUAUGCCAGCGCCACGUUGAUAUUUUUAAGUUGAAUUAAUCACCGUGUUUAAACAUGAUGAUUAAAGACGGUGAUUCAAUUAUCGUGUUCAUUUCUAUACUCUAGUCCCUCUUUUUUAUUUAAGGGGCGAUAAAAAUACAAAAUCACUGUAUUUAAACACUAGUAAUUGAAUCACCAUGUUCAACUUAAAAAUACUAUCUAAAUGCUCGUAUGGUAAGGAGAGGGCUAUUUAUACAAAUAUAAAUUUAUUAGGGCUA